rnacentral:rRNA from 1 species
UGAAUACGAGACGCUAAGGCGUCGAAGUAGUGUAUGUCAUACUUCCAAGAAAAGCUUGCACUGUCAUAGAUAAAAAACGCCUGUACCAUAACCGACACAGGUGGGUAGGUAGAGUAUACUAAGGGGCGCGAGAUAACUCUCUCUAAGGAACUCGGCAAAAUAACUCCGUAACUUCGGGAGAAGGAGUGCCUUAUUCGUAAGGUUGCAAUAACAAGAUCCAAGCAACUGUUUAUCAAAAACACAGGUCUCCGCUAAGUCGUAAGACGAUGUAUGGGGGCUGACGCCUGCCCAGUGCCAGAAGGUUAAAGAAGUUGGUUAGCAAUUGCGAAGCUGAUAACUGAAGCCCUGGUGAACGGCGGCCGUAACUAUAACGGUCCUAAGGUAGCGAAAUUCCUUGUCGGGUAAGUUCCGACCCGCACGAAAGGCGUAAUGAUUUGGAUACUGUCUCGGAGAGGGGCUCGGUGAAAUAGACUUGUCUGUGAAGAUGCGGACUACCUGCACCAGGACAGAAAGACCCUAUGAAGCUUUACUGUAACUUGAAAUUGAAAUUGGACUUUAUUCGCGCAGUAUAGGUGGGAGGCGUUGAUUAUAAUCUUGUGGGAUUAUUGGAGCCAUCAGUGAGAUACCACUCUUGUAAUGUUAGAUUUCUAACUUUGAAUCAUUAUCUGGUCAAAGAACAGUUUCAGGCGGGCAGUUUGACUGGGGCGGUCGCCUCCUAAACGGUAACGGAGGCGUACAAAGGUUUCCUCUGAACGGUUAGAAAUCGUAUCUAGAGUGUAAAGGCAUAAGGAAGCUUGACUGUGAGACCUACAAGUCGAGCAGGGACGAAAGUCGGUCUUAGUGAUCUGACGGUACUGAGUGGAAAGGCCGUCACUCAACGGAUAAAAGUUACUCUAAGGAUAACAGGCUGAUCUCCCCCAAGAGUUCACAUCGACGGGGAGGUUUGGCACCUCGAUGUCGGCUCAUCGCAUCCUGGGGCGGUAGUACGUCCCAAGGGUUGGGCUGUUCGCCCAUGAAAGCGGUACGCGAGCUGGGUUCAGAACGUCGUGAGACAGUUCGGUCCAUAUCCGGUGUAGGCGUUAGAAUAUUGAGAGGAGCCUUCUUUAGUACGAGAGGACCGAGAAGGACAUACCUCUGGUGUACCAGUUAUCGUGCCAACGGUAAACGCUGGGUAGCUAUGUAUGGAGUGGAUAACCGCUGAAAGCAUCUAAGUGGGAAGCCCACCUCAAGAUAAGUAUUC